GGGGUGUGUUGGUAGAAAAUAGGGGUGCGGAAGAAGGUGUGUUUUUCUUUCUUUUAUGAAAUCGAAUGGGCUUAAGCCCAAAGACGAAGGGGUGCGAAUAGGCAAAGGGGGGUUGCAAGGCCAGAAUCUCUUGGGUCUAGGCCCAAAUUGUUAAUCAGAACCUAAUUAGGGUUCUCUCUUGCAACUCCAUCCAAGAGUGAUGCCUCUCAUUCGCAGAAGCCAAAUCAAAGAGGAAGCAGCUUCCUCUCAUGCGCCCACCUACGUCUGCCACCGAACCAGCCGCCACCGUGCCAUCCGACCAGCCUUGGCUUCGCCGACGACAACACACCCUUCGAGAGAGAGCGGCGAUUUCAUAUCCUCCGCCACCACGCGCACGUCGUCGCCCCUAUCGAACGGCCACCGCGAUGCCACCAAAGAGGGUCGCCAGCGGCCACCGUCGACCACAGCGUCCAGCCGGUCGCCACCGUCAAGCCUUCCCCUCUCCUUCUCUUUCCCCGUGCUGACCUAGGGUUGGGGGUUCCUUCUCAAAUGCGCCGGCGCCCCCUCCGACAGCUACCGCGCCACCACCGUCGAGGUUCGUCUCGCAUCAUCGCCGGUGACGCCAACCUUCCUUCUUCUUCGAAUUCGAACACACCAUUGCCGUCAGAGAAGCUAAGCGUUGCCGCCACCGUCGACCACCGGUAGCAGCCGUGAGGAUUGGUUUCCUCUCCGACUCCCAACUUCUUUGUUCAGCCCUCACCCUCGACUUAGUUACCCAACGAGACAGGGUUGCCUAACAGUAUUAGAGUUUCGGGAUUUUGUGCUUGUGCUCUUGUGCUUGUGAUUGGCGACUUUGGGUUUUGAUGUCCUUGUGUGUUUAUUUUUUUUUUUGUGUGCUUGUUGUUUAGGGGAUCAACCCCUAUCUUAAUGGCUUAAGAUGAACAGAGGAAAGGAGACUCAGUUUCGUUAUCUGACUCAGUUUGUCGUGGUCGCGAUUGAUUCAGGGGUCUUGGAUUGUUUCAAAGGAUAAACCUUAAACCUGUGGGCAUGGGAUUUAUGAUUUUGGUCUGUUCAUGCUGUUUGAUGCAGGUGGAAGAUGGUCACGAAGAUAGCCAUAACUUAUACCAGUAUACAACCUAUGGAGGAAACUGUGGUCUACUAUAAGGACAAAACCGCUUCUAUUCUUUCGGUUUUUCAUAAGAACUGAUAUGGAAAUGCAUUGAAAAUGCAGUUUGAUAAAAAGAUGAAACCACGAUCAAGACUACCACCACUGUACAUCAUGAUGAAACAUCAUUCGUCUAUCUCCAAGCAUGCGUAAUGAAAGCAUACAGGUAAGCAAGUCCGAAGAGCUUAUGUAUGAGGACUUACCUACGCAGCUUCAAGACUCCUCUGCAGCUUCAGGACUUGCAGCCUCAAGAAUCCUUUGCAGCUUCAAGACUCCUUUACAACUUCAAUACUUGCAGCCUCAGGAAUCCUCCGCGGCUUUUAGACCUUCCUUUUUGAUUCUCUUUUCCAGUAUUCUCUUGGGUAGGUGGUAAUGAUAUUCCCCGUGAUCUCUUGCUGUGAUGUGCUCUGUGUAUUGUUCUCUUUCUGUGCCCUCUCCUGUCUUGUGCUCUCUGUUGUUAUCCUUAAGGUCCUCCCCUGUUUUCAAAAACCAACCCCAUAUCUUCUGCUGUAGGAUUUUUUCUUUUGUUUUUUUCUUCUUCUCAUGUAUCAAUUUGAUUGAUCAGUGAAAUAAUUCAAAAAUCCUUUCUCCUUUGGUA